rnacentral:rRNA from 1 species
GUGGGGAAUAUUGGACAAUGGGCGCAAGCCUGAUCCAGCAAUGCCGCGUGGGUGAAGAAGGUCUUCGGAUCGUAAAGCCCUUUCGACAGGGACGAUGAUGACGGUACCUGUAGAAGAAGCCCCGGCUAACUUCGUGCCAGCAGCCGCGGUAAUACGAAGGGGGCUAGCGUUACUCGGAAUUACUGGGCGUAAAGGGCGCGUAGGCUGACCUGUUAGUCAGGGGUGAAAUUCCUGGGCUUAACCUGGGGACUGCGUUUGAUACUGCAGGGCUUGAGGCCGAGAGAGGUUGGUGGAAUUCCCAGUGUAGAGGUGAAAUUCGUAGAUAUUGGGAAGAACACCGGUGGCGAAGGCGACCACCUGGCUCGGUUCUGACGCUGAGGCGCGACAGCGUGGGGAGCAAACAGGAUUAGAAACCCUUGUAGUCC